rnacentral:lncRNA from 1 species
GGGUUAGGUGGUUGAAAUUCAAAAUCUCAAUUUCGAAACUUGGUUAUUUGAUAUUUCUAGCCAAGCUUAUUUUUAAAAAAUAGAAAUAAACGAGGCCAGUAGAUUGCUGCUACCUAUCUCUUUAAAAAAAAAAAUUUGAGUAAAAACUUAUAACUUGAAACUUAUUAAUAAAGAUUCAGAUAUAAAAUAUACAUACAGUCCACUAAAUUUUCUCGAUGAAGUUGCACUUCUUUACCGCAAGUGGCAAAAGGCUCGGUGAUUGGUACCCGAGAUCCCAAGUUCGAAUUAUAGUUGAUUCGCAUUUUUAGUUAAAUUUAUUUCUAAAUGAAAUUAACAAAACGGAUAACGUGUUGCUUAUCUCUUAGAAAA